GGGGAAUAUUGGACAAUGGGCGCAAGCCUGAUCCAGCCAUGCCGCGUGAGUGAUGAAGGCCCUAGGGUUGUAAAGCUCUUUCACCGGUGAAGAUAGUGACGGUAGCCGGAGAAGAAGCCCCGGCUAACUUCGUGCCAGCAGCCGCGGUAAUACGAAGGGGGCUAGCGUUGUUCGGAAUUACUGGGCGUAAAACGCACGUAGGCGGAUCGGUCAGUUAGGGGUGAAAUCCCAGGGCUCAACCCUGGAACUGCCUUUAAUACUGCCGGUCUAGAGUUCGAGAGAGGUGAGUGGAAUUCCGAGUGUAGAGGUGAAAUUCGUAGAUAUUCGGAGGAACACCAGUGGCGAAGGCGGCUCACUGGCUCGAGACUGACGCUGAGGUGCGAAAGCGUGGGGAGCAAAC
rnacentral:rRNA from 1 species